UGAGGAAUAUUGGUCAAUGGGCGAAAGCCUGAACCAGCCAAGUAGCGUGCAGGAUGACGGCCCUAUGGGUUGUAAACUGCUUUUAUGCGGGGAUAAAGUGCGGCACGUGUGGCGUUUUGCAUGUACCUCAUGAAUAAGGACCGGCUAAUUCCGUG
rnacentral:rRNA from 1 species